GCCUGGAUGGCUGAGCUGGUUAAGCAUCUGUCUUCAGCUCAGAUCAUGAUGUCAGGGUCCUGGGGUCAAGCCCCAUGUCAGGCU
rnacentral:tRNA from 1 species